rnacentral:rRNA from 1 species
UGCCAGCAGCCGCGGUAACACGUACUGUGCGAACGUUAUUCGGAAUCACUGGGCUUAAAGGGUACGUAGGCGGUUUGGAAAGCCAGAUGUGAAAUGCCACAGCUCAACUGUGGCACUGCGUUUGGAACUUCCAGGCUAGAGUAUUCCAGGGGUGUGCGGAACUGCCAGUGGAGCGGUGAAAUGCGUUGAUAUUGGCAGGAACACCGGAGGCGAAGGCGGCACACUGGGGGAUAACUGACGCUGAUGAACGAAAGCUAGGGUAUCAAACGGGAUUAGAUA